rnacentral:rRNA from 1 species
GACGAACGCUGGCGGCGUGCUUAACACAUGCAAGUCGAACGGAAAGGCCCUGCUUUUGUGGGGUGCUCGAGUGGCGAACGGGUGAGUAACACGUGAGUAACCUGCCCUUGACUUUGGGAUAACUUCAGGAAACUGGGGCUAAUACCGGAUAGGAGCUCCUGCUGCAUGGUGGGGGUUGGAAAGUUUCGGCGGUUGGGGAUGGACUCGCGGCUUAUCAGCUUGUUGGUGGGGUAGUGGCUUACCAAGGCUUUGACGGGUAGCCGGCCUGAGAGGGUGACCGGCCACAUUGGGACGGAGAUACGGCCCAGACUCCUACGGGAGGCAGCAGUGCGGAAUAUUGCACAAUGGGCGGAAGCCUGAUGCAGCAACGCCGCGUGCGGGAUGACGGCCUUCGGGUUGUAAACCGCUUUCGCCUGUGACGAAGCGUGAGUGACGGUAAUGGGUAAAGAAGCACCGGCUAACUACGUG